rnacentral:sRNA from 1 species
GCUGGGCAUGGUGGCGCAUGCCUGUAUUCCCAGCUACUCAGGAGGCUGAGGCAGGAGAAUUGCUUGAACCAGGGAGGUGGAGGUUGCAGUGAGCCGAGAUUGCGCCACUGCACUCCAGCCUUGGUGACACAGCAAGACUCUGUCUCAA